UACGUAGGGGGGCAAGCGUUGUCCGGAUUUACUGGGCGUAAAGAGCGUGUAGGCGGCCAAGCAGGUCCGUUGUGAAAACUGGAGGCUUAACCUCCAGACGUCGACGGAAACCGCGCGGCUAGAGUCCGGAAGAGGAGAGUGGAAUUCCUGGUGUAGCGGUGAAAUGCGCAGAUAUCAGGAAGAACACCAAUGGCGAAGGCAAGCUCUCUG
rnacentral:rRNA from 1 species